UACGUAGGGGGCAAGCGUUGUCCGGAAUCAUUGGGCGUAAAGAGCGCGUAGGCGGUCCGGUAAGUCCGCUCUGAAAGCCCGGGGCUCAACCCCGGGAGGCGGGCGGAUACUGUCGGGCUAGAGUCCGGAAGAGGCGAGUGGAAUUCCUGGUGUAGCGGUGAAAAUGCGCAGAUAUCAGGAGGAACACCGAUGGCGAAGGCAGCUCGCUGGGACGGUACUGACGCUGAGGCGCGAAAGCGUGGGGAGCAAACAGG
rnacentral:rRNA from 1 species